rnacentral:rRNA from 1 species
AGGGUUUGAUCCUGGCUCAGAACGUACGCUGGCGGCACGCCUAACACAUGCAAGUCGAACGAAGUAGCAAUACUUAGUGGCAGACGGGUGAGUAACAUGUAGGUAUCUACCCUUUGGCCUGGAAUAACACGAGGAAACUUGUGCUAAUACCGGAUAAGUCUUUACAGAGAAAGCUUUAUGCACCAUUGGAUGAGCCUGCACUUGAUUAGUUUGUUGGUGGGGUAAUGGCCUACCAAGACUUUGAUCAAUAGCUGAUUUGAGAGGAUGAUCAGCCACAUUGGGACUGAGACACGGCCCAAACUCCUACGGGAGGCAGCAGUGGGGAAUCUUGCACAAUGGAGGAAACUCUGAUGCAGCGAUGCCGCGUGAGUGAAGAAGGCCCUUGGGUUGUAAAGCUCUUUCGUCGGGGAAGAAAAUGACUGUACCCGAAUAAGAAGGUCCGGCUAACUUCGUGCCAGCAGCCGCGGUAAUACGAAGGGACCUAGCGUAGUUCGGAAUUACUGGGCUUAAAGAGUUCGUAGGUGGUUGAAAAAGUUGGUGGUGAAAUCCCAGAGCUUAACUCUGGAACUGCCAUCAAAACUUUUCAGCUAGAGUUUGAUAGAGGAAAGCAGAAUUUCUAGUGUAGAGGUGAAAUUCGUAGAUAUUAGAAAGAAUACCAAUUGCGAAGGCAGCUUUCUGGAUCAUUACUGACACUGAGGAACGAAAGCAUGGGUAGCGAAGAGGAUUAGAUACCCUCGUAGUCCAUGCCGUAAACGAUGUGUGUUAGACGUUGGAAAUUUAUUUUCAGUGUCGCAGCGAAAGCGAUAAACACACCGCCUGGGGAGUACGACCGCAAGGUUAAAACUCAAAUGAAUUGACGGGGACCCGCACAAGUAGUGGAGCAUGUGGUUUAAUUCGAAGAUACGCGCAGAACCUUACCAACACUUGACAUGUUCGUCGCGACUUUAAGAGAUUAAAGUUUUCGGUUCGGCCGGACGAAACACAGGUGCUGCAUGGCUGUCGUCAGCUCGUGUCGUGAGAUGUUGGGUUAAGUCCCGCAACGAGCGCAACCCUCACUUUUAGUUGCCAUCAUUAAGUUGGGCACUCUGAAAGAACUGCCAGUGAUAAGCUGGAGGAAGGUGGGGAUGACGUCAAGUCCUCAUGGCCCUUACGUGUUGGGCUACACACGUGCUACAAUGGUAUUUACAAAAGGAAGCAAAACGGCGACGUUUAGCAAAUCCUUAAAAAAUACCUCAGUUCGGAUUGCACUCUGCAACUCGAGUGCAUGAAGCUGGAAUUACUAGUAAUCGUGGAUCAGCGUGCCACGGUGAAUGCGUUCCCGGGUCUUGUACACACCGCCCGUCACACCAUGGGAGUUGGUUCUACCUUAAGGCAAGGUUUAAAACCCUUGACCACGGUAUAGUCAGCGACUGGGGUGAAGUCAUAACAAGGUAGCCGUA